UACGUAGGGUGCAAGCGCUAAUCGGAAUUACUGGGCGUAAAGCGUGCGCAGGCGGCUUUGCAAGACAGAUGUGAAAUCCCCGGGCUCAACCUGGGAACUGCAUUUGUGACUGCAUGGCUGGAGUGCGGCAGAGGGGGAUGGAAUUCCGCGUGUAGCAGUGAAAUGCGUAGAUAUGCGGAGGAACACCGAUGGCGAAGGCAAUCCCCUGGGCCUGCACUGACGCUCAUGCACGAAAGCGUGGGGAGCAAACAGG
rnacentral:rRNA from 1 species